rnacentral:rRNA from 1 species
AACGAACGCUGGCGGCAGGCCUAACACAUGCAAGUCGAGCGCGCCCUUCGGGGUGAGCGGCGGACGGGUGAGUAACGCGUGGGAACGUGCCCUUUUCUACGGAAUAGCCUCGGGAAACAGAGAGUAAUACCGUAUACGCCCUUUGGGGGCAAGAUUUAUCGGAAAAGGAUCGGCCCGCGUUGGAUUAGGUAGUUGGUGGGGUAAUGGCCUACCAAGCCGACGAUCCAUAGCUGGUUGGAGAGGAUGAUCAGCCACACUGGGACUGAGACACGGCCCAGACUCCUACGGGAGGCAGCAGUGGGGAAUCUUAGACAAUGGGGGCAACCCUGAUCUAGCCAUGCCGCGGGAGUGAUGAAGGCCUUAGGGUUGUAAAGCUCUUUCAGCUGGGAAGAUAAUGACGGUACCAGCAGAAGAAGCCCCGGCUAACUCCGUG